rnacentral:ncRNA from 1 species
AUUUUACUGCCACCGGGUAGUAUGAAUGAGAGCAUUCAUAGAUUCAUCGUUAGGUCUUAGAAGAUGGAUCAUAUGGAUGCUUUCUUUUU